GUAAAUAAGUUUGUUUUCACUAGUUUAGUUUAGGGGUGGCGCCCUGCAUGGGUCUCGUUGUCCCGUUUGCGCUAGCCCAAUUGGACGUAUACCCUGUAGUCUUUGUUUGUAUAAUAAUAUGUAACCUUUUAUAUGUAUGUCCAAUAAAGCUGUUAAAAAAAAAAAAAAAAAAAAAAAAAAAAAAAAAAAAAAAAAAAAAAAAAAGGAAAAAGAAAAAAAAAAAGAAAAAAAAAAAGAAUAU